CCUGCAAGUCCUCAAGGCCUGGGGAGGCCUCAUCCCCUCCUCAUUUCAGCAACAGCACACAGGACAAUACGCUCUAGAAGAACUCUUUGACUUAAAGGUAUAUGAUUGUUUUUGUUCCUUUAACAUGAACGUGAGUCUGGAGAAACAGCUACGGCCAUCCCAGCCCUGGCCAAGGGGAAAAUGCCGGAAGACUCCAGGGUGGGAGGAAGCGCGUCCCAAGGCCCAGGAUCUGCGAGGCGACUUGGGGAAAACGCAGGCAGAAAAUAAAGCAUGCGAAGAAGUUAACUUGGUGCCAUUGGGCAGAGGGUGAGAGCCCAGCAAACCGGAGAGAUCAGCUGCCCACAUCAGUGGCGAGGAGUGCGGAGAGUGGGUGAGGCUGGGGCAGGAAGCAGGCCAGCCUGCCAGAGCCCAGGAACAGGAUCCACCUCUGAUGUUCAGUGAAGACUACCAGAAAAGUCUGCUAGAGCAGUACCAUCUGGGUCUGGAUCAAAAACUCAGAAAAUACGUGGUUGGAGAGCUCAUCUGGAAUUUUGCCGAUUUCAU
rnacentral:lncRNA from 1 species